rnacentral:rRNA from 1 species
AUGGCGAGCUCCGUCUUCUACUUCGGAGAGAUCGGAGUAAACGACUACAUCUUCGCGCUAUUCAGCAACCGCACAGCCGAGUUCGCGGCGAGCUUGGUGCCGGACAUCGUCGGCGUCACCCGCUCGGCGCUGAACGCCGUGAUCGCCGCCGGUGCGAGGACGGUGCUGGUGACGGGGAUGAUCCCGCUGGGGUGCGAGCCGGAGCUGCUCGCCCUCUUCCCCGGCGACGCGCACGGGGAGUCCGGCUGCAUCACGGGCUUCAACGAGGUCGCUCAGCUGCACAACCGCGCGCUGAACCGCAUGCUCCGCGAGCUCCGGCGGAGCCACCCCGGCACCACCCUCUUCUACGCCGACACCUACAGCCCCAUCGCCAACCUCGUCGCCUCGCCCGGCAAAUACGGUUUCGGCGACAGGCCGUUGGCCGCGUUCUGCGGCGGCGGCGCUGGGCCGUACCACUUCGACAUGGCGGCGUUCUGCGGCACGCCGGACUCGACGGGGAGCUCUGACCCGUCCGAGUUCCUCUCGUGGGACGGCAUCCACUUCACCGACGCUGCCAACAGGUUCAUCGCCCAGGCGCUGCUCAGAGGAUUGUAUAACGCGUCGGCGAUGGCAGAGCCGCAAACUGCACUGCUCUGA